UGUCCGUAAGGAAGUGGAGUCUGUUG
rnacentral:piRNA from 1 species